UUAAUACUGGAUAGAUCAAAGAAACUGGAAUGUUCUCUGGUCCAGAACUCCGGUGCCCAAGGAUGGGUCUGCGGCCUAUCAGGUAGUAGUGGGUGUAACGUACCUACUAGCCAGCGACGGGUAAGGGUUGUGAGAGCAAGAUCCCUGAGAUGGAUUCUGAGACAUGAAUCCAGGCCCUACGGGGUGCAGCAGGCGCGAAAACUUUACACUGCGGGAAACCGCGAUAAGGGGACCCCGAGUGCCAGCACCUAGUGCUGGCUGUCCUACUGUCUAAAUAACAGUGGUUAGCAAGGGCCGGGCAAGACCGGUGCCAGCCGCCGCGGUAACACCGGCGGCCCGAGUGGUAACCGUUUUUAUUGGGUUUAAAGGGUCCGUAGCCGGCUUACUAAGUCUCUUGGGAAAUCUGGCGGCUCAAUCGUCAGGCGUUCA
rnacentral:rRNA from 1 species